AGGCUAGAAAGCAAAAUGGUUUAUGCAAAAGAUUGCAAAUCUUUGUUAAUUGGUUCGAUUCCAAUUCUAGCUUG
rnacentral:tRNA from 1 species